rnacentral:rRNA from 1 species
UACGAGGGGUGCAAGCGUUGCUCGGAAUUAUUGGGCGUAAAGGGUAGGUAGGUGGUCUCGUUUGUCUGGGGUGAAAGCCUUGAGCUUAACUCAAGAAGUGCCCUAGAAACGGCGAGACUGGAGUCUUGGAGAGGGUCGUGGAAUUCCCGGUGUAGCGGUGAAAUGCGUAGAGAUCGGGAGGAACACCAGAGGCGAAGGCGGCGACCUGGUCCAUUACUGACGCUGAGGCGCGACAGCGUGGGGAGCAAACAGG